rnacentral:lncRNA from 1 species
GGUUUCUCUAGCCAGGGUUAUAAGUGUUCGAAUAUGGAUCGUUUCCUGGUCUGCGAGCUUGUUGGACUUGAGCUUGCUGAACCUGCUCAUGCACAAACUCAAAAAAUUGAGGUACGGCUAGGCAUUCACUAACAAAAUGGUUCGGACUUGCAUACAAUGCACAAACUUCUUGGAUUGGAUUAGGUAGAAUCGGAGAUUGUCCAGUAUUUAGAAGACGGUCUAAUAUUUGGGACAGUUCAUCUACCUUACUGUGGAUAUCCAUGACGUUU